CAUUCUUUCCUUCCUCAGCCGUGAUCCGAGAAAGUAUUGUUCAAGCAUGCUCUAUUAGUCUGAACAACGCAGCGUUAGGUUUUCAUGUCACCCUCCCCCUGAUGGGGAGAGGCCUUCUGACACCUCUUCCUGUCAUCAGGAAGGACUGCCCAAAGCCCCAAUAACCCUAAGGACAAGUGAACAAGAGCUCAGAUGGACAGCUGUGCUGAGUGAUGGAAAAGAACACUCCCUGAGUUUCUUGUGUUCACACUGGAGGGCGCCUACAGUGUCAACCGUACAAAACGUGCAAGAGCUUCCUAUCAUCUUGAGAGAGACUUUGUUGCUGACUUCUCACUUAAUCCUCCAUCAUUGGAAUUUACACAGAAAAUAUUAUAGAAAGAAUAUUAUAGUGGUUAGGUUUAGGAAGACUGCAUGCUGCAAAGUUGAAUAUAGGAAUUCAUUACUUAAUGUGCCCUAGAGAACUGCCUAACUGGAGGUUAACAAUAUCGGUAACAGUAAUGUGCUAUAGCAAAUAACUUAAAUAUAAAAUUCACAGAAAUAACAAGAAAGGCAAGAAGGACAUUAACAAGAGUAGAAAAAAAAUCUGUACUUCCCAAAAAAAUCUUCUACAUUUAUUAAUAUUAGCUAAUUCAUUUAGUUAUACAAAUGGUACUUAGUUCAUCCAAAAAUACAGAACCAGAAUUGGAAGUACUAUAUAAGAUAUUAUAAUAAUGACUGAGCUGGGUGGUGGUAGCGCACGCCUUUACUCCCAGCACUCAGGAGGCAGAGCCAGGUGGAUCUCUGUGAGUUCAAGGCCAGCCUGGUCUUACAGAGUGAGUUCCAGGAAAGGUGCAAAGCUACACAGAGAAACCCUGUCUCAAAAAACCAAAAUAAUAAUAAUAAUAAUAAUAAUAAUAAUAAUAAUGACUGAGUCUACGCUUUUUAAAAAUUUUAUUUCUGACAAUUCCAUAAAUGUAUAUAGUGUGUUUUAUAAUUUGUCCCUUUUAUCUUCUUUUGUCCCACUGACCCCCUUCAUCCUCCAAACUUGUCCCCCUCUAACUUUUAUGCCUUUUUUAUAACACCAAUGCCCCCCACCUUUAGAGAGUGAAAUGAGAUGACCAUGGAAAAAACCACAGGAUAGUUCAUAUGCCAGCAGAAAGGUUCAGAUCAAAUAAAUCUAGAGGGAGCAGGGACUGCCUCUAACUACACAGAUCAGAAUGUCGUUCCUUGCGGGCUUUGAAGGGACUAACUGCAAACAAGAGACCGAAGUGGAGGAAAGCAGAUAAGGCAAUGUGCACGCACACAUCAAGGAAUCAGGCUAGAGAAUGAGGUACAUGGAGGUACAGUAAAGAAAGGCCAGGUCAGGUGGACUUCUUAUUUGUUAGUGGUGCUGGAGCGCAAACCCUAGGCCUCACACACACUAUUCAAGGGCUCCACCACUGAGUUACAUCAGACUCCAAAAACUUUGAUGUAGCAAGGCAAAGAGGAGGGAUUUACCAUUCAUGACCUGAAACAUGGGGAAGCCAGUGCCUAGCAGGAGCAGAGUAGUAGAUAAAACUGGCAGCUUGGAGAACUACUUCUGAGGCAGCUCCUGUAAUAUAACUAAUGUGAGGAGUUGGGCAUAUUAGAUGCAGCAGGAGUAAACUCAGCUGAUGUAUAUAGUAGCUCUUGACACUAUCAGACAGAGGGACAGUCUAGGCAGCACUGUUGAAGUGAGGUCAAGGUCACACUGCCGGUGAGUAGAGACUGUGGGUAGUGGGCUUUUGUAUGGCGGUCUGGCAUGAAGACAAUUCAUCAUGAAAUAAGGCCCAAGUGAGAAGACAAUAUGCAUGUACAUUAAACAAGUAAACCCCUGUUCCACAGUGGGAACAAGGGGCCCUAUGGAGAAAUAAACACUUUAAUUCUCACACUACAGGUUUAAGCUAUAUGGUUAAUUAUUAGAAGUGUGUCAAAUGUCUCCGAGACUCUUCUGUUAUAGACACCUUUAAGAAAAAUGAAAAAACAGUGAAGGUGCAGCAUUUCAACUGGUUUGAUUCUGAACCUAAUAACCACACAUAUGUGUAUUCCUUUUUUAACAGAUGAGAUAACAAAAAUAACUCCUAUCUGUUCCAUUCUGCUCUUUGUGUUGUCUAUUAAAUGUGGAUGACCUGAUUUGCUUUAAAAAUCCCUCACUGACUUACAGGUAAACAGCUUACCUCAAGGUAAGGUAACAGUUUGGGCCAAAGAAGUAACUGCGGGCCAGAGGGUGGUAAAACUCACAUUUAAUUCCAGGUUCCCUUUUUCUUCUCUCUCUUUCUGUCUCUCUCUCUCUGUCUGUCUCUCUCUCUCUCUCUCUCUCUCUCUCUCUCUCUCUCUCUCUCUCUCAUUCUCUAAAGGCUCAGAAACUACUUACUUCUCUUUGAGGAUAGAGCUGUCACCCAGAAGCUGGGAACUUGUUGUGGAUGAUCCAGAGAAUGAUUUAGAACAAUUGGUUCUCAACCUGUAGAUCAUGACCCCUUUAGGGUCAAAUGACCCUAUCACAGGGGUUGCCUAAGACCAUCAGAAAACAUAGAUUUUUUACAUUACAAUUCAUAACAGUAGCAAAAUUACAGUUAUGAAGUAACAGCAAAAUUAAUUUUAUGGUUGAGGUCACCACAACACCAAGAACUAUAUUAAAGGGUUGUAGCACUAGGAAGGUUGAGAACCACUGCUCUAGAAUAACUAUAUUUUCUGUUUUGAAUGAUUGAGUUUAUUAAGUACUAAGCCGGGAGGGAAGGAACAGAAAGAAACACAUUAUCUAAUUGGGUAAAAUUAUCCCGCAGAAACUCACUGAGGAAGUCCCUUUAAAGUAGCCAGAUGGAGCUCCCAAUAUGAAGAGUCCCAGGCAGAGCCAAGUGACCCACACAUGAGGUUCCCAAGCAAACACCAAUAACGGAAGGGUAAUUGUUGUUUUGGACAUGACCGCAAAAAAAAAGACAAAACAAGAAAAACAGACAAAGGGGGAACACCAAACCGAAAAGCUUCUUCACAGCUGAUGACCUCACUCAUGUGAAAUCUAAGAAGGGUCCGCUCUGAUAACCCCUGGUAUGUGUGGCUUGCUGUUUCUCCUACUGGAAUGUCACUCAUCUAUAAAAACUUUCCUCAGCCUUCAUUUUUCUAAUGGAGUAACAACUGGGUUCUCUGUUUCCCAAGACAGGCAGCAUUGCUAAGUUACUAAAAUCAACCUGAACUGGAGUAACUGAAGGCAUGUGGUAUGUUGUGGAUGGGUGGUGGUGAAGUACAAAAACACAGGGUGAAAUACUUUGGGAGAAUAAUUGUUGCCAGUUAGUUUUGAAGCAUCAUCCUACACUAUGUCUGGGUAAGUGGGACAAGUAACUAAACAGGAAACGUGCUGUACUGUACGGAAGCCAUGGGCACAGGAAGACAAGAGGAAAGAAACAAAGAAGAAAAAGGGGAAAGAAAGGCAGAGGAAGUCAAAAGAACAGUAGUUUAACUGUGAUGUGUGUUCUAAACUGUGAAUUAGAUGAUAUAUGAUGUUCUUUUUACUCUUUAUGGAUAAAGUAGAUUUCCAAAGAAGACUAAAUUAUCAGACUUGCCAAAUAUUACCAUAUAGAUCUAAAAAAAUUUAAAAAGGAAAGAAAAUGAAGUGGCUUUACCAGCAUUAAGGAAAUGCUUUCCCAAUUGCAUCUCCACUUAGCUACACCAAAUCAACCAAUACUGCUAGACACUGAGCAAACAUCACUGUGUAGAAUGGAAGAGCCUUGAAGGCAAGCCUCUUUGCUUACACAUGUGAAGAGGUAACACCUGGAUGUCUGUGUCAAGUAAGAAAAAAAGUCUCCUUGAUCAAUCAAGGCAGGUUCCGCAGGUCGCUCCCCCAGUGAGGCCUCAACUUCUAGAGGCCUGACCUCUUGUUAAUCCUUGUAUCUAUCAGGAUUGACAAGGGUCUUGUUAAACCACAUUGGCAACAACCUCACACUAUUCUCAAUAUCUUUUGCUAUAUAAGUUCCCACAUUUCCUUAUGAUAAUUGCAAAUUUGAAAUUAGUUCUUUCCCAGGGUCUCUGUGCCCCUACCUGAAUACUUCAGAAUGAAACUGUUUUUACUAGUGAAAUACAUUCCGCUGUGGUCUCCUUAGUCAUUGUGCUACUCUAGAAAAUGUGGAAGUUCUUCAAAACGUUUGAAAUAAGACCGCGGAAACAGCUGAGCUGCAGCGGGGGCACUAAUGAGAAUGCUCCCCAUAGGUUCACGCAUUUGAACAUUUGGUCACCAGGUGGUAGCACGGCUGGGCAGAGGUUUAGGAGGUGUGGCCUUAUUGGAGGAAGUUUGAAAGUCUGAAGAUUCACACCAUUUCCAGUUCACUCUUUCUGCUUUGUGUUUGUGGUUCAAGAUCUGAGCUGUCAGCAUCCUGCUCCAGCCACCAUGCUUGCCUGCAGGCAUUAUGGACUCUUGCCUUCUGGAACCAUAAGCCCAAAUAAAUUCUGUCUUCCAUAAGUUGCAUUGGUCAUGGUGCUUUAUCACAGCAACACAAAAGUAAUUAACACAGUUGUGAAACUGCCCGCUGCAGAAGCAUGGGGGCCCAAGUUAAAAUCCAUCACCUGUGUUAAAUUCAGGCACCGCAGCGGGAGCCUGAAAUCUCAGGGUGAGGGAGGUGGAGAUGAGCAUUCC